GGUCAGUUGUCGAACUGCCACUCACUGUAUCUUCUUAUAUAACCUAGUCAGACCUACAGAAAACAUGUCGCUGUCCAUACUGUUAUAGGCUUUGUCUAGCAACAGCUGUUUACUCACUUUGCUUAGCAAACAUUUGCUUGAAUGUGGGCACUUCCCACAUCGUAAUAAAGUAACUACCUGGACAGUGUGUUGGAAACUUCUUACGGACAGAUCGAUUUUUUCUCCCCCCCCCCACACACACACACACAUAUUUAGCAGAACACUGAGAAGUUGUUUAAUUUUUAUAUCAUUCUGAUUCAUUCACAAGCCACUAUCUUGGAGAUGAAAAUAAAACACACAAGUGGUAAUAGAAUAUUGACAGAGCUGUCACAUGAACUAAACAUGACAAACAUGGAACUGACAACCCUAUUAGGAUAAGUGUAAGUAACUCAAAUCUAGGAAAGAUAAUAGAAAUCUGUUUGGAGCAAUAGGAAACAGAAUCUGACAUAAAUGUUAUAGGGUGACUCUAAAUAAAGGAGUAUUCUAACUAACUCCAGGGAGCUGGGUCCUUCUUGAGAAGCUACCAGUCACUUACUCAAGAAAUUCCCAACAUUUUUGAACCUGAAGGUUAAUUGCUGUGUUCACACUAGCUCUCCUCUGGUCCCCAUCCUAAGCCAGAUGAAUCCAGUCCAUAUCACCCCCCAUCCUAUUUCGCUAAGAUCCAUUUCAGUAUUAUCCUCCCAUCUAGUGGCCUUGAUAAUUACUAGUCAGUUUUAUUGCCCUUCUUGUAAAUUGGUUCAAUAAUAGACUCUUCCACUGUCAAGGCAGUUCCUUAUAACAAACAGAAACAUGGGUUCAUGGAUCUGAAACAUAAUGUUUCAUGUCCUGCUUGAAUCAUUUCUGCCAGAAUUUGAUCAGCACCUGCUGAUUUAUACUUUUCAAACUUUGCAAUGGCAGUUCAAACUCAAAAGAACUAGGGCUAGGUAAUAAUGGCUCAUCUCUAUAAACUUUUCUCUGCCUAACAUCACUGGACCUAUGUACAUUCAGUACAUGAGAGAAGUGUUUCUUCCACCUAUUCAAAUGUUGUGGGAAUCUGUAAGAUCACCAUUCAUAUUCUUUACCAAGUUAGUUAUAGGCUGGUAACCCUCCUUAACCCUUCAGCGUGGUUUGCCAUAUACGGUAUGCUGGUAUUUAAAUGGUCCUACCUGCGGUUUGCUGUACACCGUACGCCAAGCUGUAAGCUUAAUUUCGAAGGCCCAUAAAUAUGGAAUGAACCACACCAGCAUGAUGACGAUUGCACUGGGCUGUUGUGAAAAGAAUGCGCUCUCUGUUCAUGUAAACAUAACGUUCAGCUCUGCCAGUCAGUCUAAAUAGAACGCCGACCUCAUAGUUGCGAUGGCCGAGUGACUAUGAUAUCAACAUACCACAAAGAUGAUAUGUGUGUGGUUGUGAAUAAAGCAAACAAACAGGAAACAAAGCCCUUGGUUGUUUGUGAUUACAACAAAAACAUGCUAGGAGUGGAUCUGACAGAUCAAAUGCUACAGCUGUACUUGCUUGAAGGAAAGAAGAGUACUAAGUGGUAUCAGAAGUUAUUCAAGACAUUAUUCAAUGUAGCAAUACAUAACGCAAUGGUCAUAUAUCGGUGUCUCCCGAAUAACAAAAACAUGGGCACGCUAAAGUUCAGACUUUCACUAGCACAAGGCCUCAUGGAAAAUCACGGUUCUGGUUUCCCUCAUCCUGUAUAUGGCCGUCUGUCAGUUGAGCCACUGCCUAAGAGACUCACAGAACGACAUUUCCUGAAGCAUAUUCCAGCCAAAGGGAAAAAGCAAAGGCUCAAAAAAGAUAUGUGGUGUGCGCAAAACAUGGUAAAAGGAAAGAAUUUAUUUUUGGUGUAGUGAAUGUGAGGUAGGGUUGUGUUUAUAUGGAUGUUUCAAGAAAUACCAUACGAAACUCAAUUUCUAAUCCACUUGCUUCCAUCGCUCAGAUACAGGGCACUCAUAUUAUAAGAGAGCAGCCAUUGUGAAAAUGGAACUAAAAUAAAUGAGUAAGAACUGAAAUUAAUGGUAACAAACAAGAAAUCUACCACUAUAAAAAUUACAUAUCCACAAUGAGAGAUCCACCAUUCUACAGUAUACCAUCAGGUGAAGUAAAGCACCUCAGUGCAUGUUGUGAUACAUAGUUCUUCAAAUGAUGAAAUUCUCUGCUGUUAGAGAAGCAAGACAUCCAUAAAUGCCAUCCAAAGGCAUACUACCCAAAAUUUUCAUAUAUUUAAAAACAAUGUUAAAAAUAUUCUUCUCUGCAAUCAAACAAUUUGAAUAUAACUUACAGCAACAAGUUUGUUCAAGAAAUGUUUGAUGCCAAGGAAUUAAUGUGUAAAUUUCAUGAAUUUUUCACGAGUGCUUUUUUCACCCAGAUUGAGAUCCAAUGUUUUGGAUACAAUCAAUUCACAGAAAUUUCUAAUAAAGCAACAGGAUCUGUGUUAAUUCAUAAUCACAUAAAUAUGAUGGGGGAAAAAAAACAGUAUGCAAAUUAUGAGUCACUAGGUUUCAGUUAUAAGGUGAAAUAAAUUCUUUAAGUUGAUAUUUUAAGGUACUACAGUUUCUGUAGAAUUCUAUGUGAGGUGUCCAUUUGCACUUAUCUCAGGUAAUAUGAGAACAAUGCUUGGGCUUUGUUUUAAUGUAUCUGAAAUACAGGAACAAUUACAUUUUACAGUUCACUCUGCAGUUACUAGCAUUAGCUCUGCACUACUCUUGAAAGAAAUUAAGCAAGAGGCAGCUAGGGAAUAUGUAAGCACCACAAUUAAGACAGGAAACCCUCUGCUUGAAGCCAGCCAAAGUGAAUCAAGCCUACCUCAUUGUUUGCUCAGGGUCUAGUUUGUAGUAAAAGUAUGUGAAGCUAUUCAACCAGCAUCAACCAUAACAGCUCAUACACUAUGCAUUAGUGCUCCAAAACAACUUGGCAUAAUGUAAAUACCUCAUACCACUUGCCACUUGCCACUAUUGUUUGCUUUUUCCACAAAUGCAAUAAGUUUGUUUUAUUUGGUCAAACCUAAAAUGUAAUCAAAGACUCCCAAGAGAGAGAAUUUGAAGUGAUUGAUGCUGGUGGAACAGCUUCAGAAGUGAAUAUAGGGACAAUUAAAUGUUUCUAUACAGCAUACAUUUUGUUUUUAUAAUGGUCAUAUUCUUUACCAUGUGAGAUAACCAUUAUAUAGAUUUAGCUGGGCGCUGUCCUUGAUUUUUUCUGUUUGUUGUGUUGUGACGGUCAAUAAAGAGUUGUACAUUAUAUAGAUUUGUUAUGGUGAAGAAUGCGUUCAUAAAAUGAAAUACAGAACCUGUCCUCCGACCAAGCACUUCUGAGCUACACCACUAAUAGAAAUAGAAAUUAAAUUAUCUAAAUCGAUAUUUCAGUUCAGUUUUUAUGGAAGUUGCACUGGGUCCCUAGUUGAAAAUUUUAAUGAACAGUUUUUCAUACUGGAUGCCAAAUGAUUAAUUAAAAAAAACAUUCAAAGAGUUCCUUUUGUCACAUACCUCCUACUAUAUUCAUUGUUUUGUAAACUGUGCUGUGCAUCAAUUAACAUCAUCUUAAAUAUCAAGUUAUAAUACUUCUUGUAGAAUAAUUAUAAAUAAUUUCCCAUUUAUGUAAAAUGAAGUGUUCUGUGCUUGCUCUACUAUGACUUGCUUAGUGUAUCUGUUUGUACGCUGACUUGUUUCACAUCAUAAGUAACCAGCAUUCAUGGAAUGCAUGUAAUUGAUUGACUGAUCAACCAAUCAUUCAACCAAACCAUUAAUCAAUUCAUAUAUUGAAGGAAGUCCCAAAUUCGGUCACAUACUGAUGAUUGUGACUACCUGACUUGCUAACUUUUAUCCUCACAGAACUGUUUCUGGCUGCAACAUAUCGUUUCACAUCCACGCUUUAUUCACUGCUCCUGAAACUGCCUGUAAAGCAUUAAUUUUGUUGAAAUAAACUUUUCCAGGAAAAAAUAGAAAAUCAGUAAAAUAAAAUUCUAUCUGCAUCUGCAAUACAAUUUUAACUCCCUUACAUACUUUCAAUUCUGUGCUUCUACACAGAUGUAAAAUGCAGAUUAAUCUCCACAGAUACAUAAGCUAGAGCCUUGUAAAUAUACAUAACUUAAGUAUGAAAUAUGUAAGUGUAGCUAUGAAGGUUGCAUGUGAUUUGUCAUGGUUGAUGUUGGAUUGCAAGUUAAAUUACAGAAUUUGAAUGAGAAGAGUUUGGGGAUUAGAUGAAGAGAGGCUUCCCUGUGUAGAAUUGUGUUGAGUUUUCCCCAACUGUCUGUUACACAACCAAGAGCAGCAUUAGUUAAUUUUCUUAAUUCCCUCAGGUACUUACAUCUGAUGUUAUAUGAAAGAAUUCCAACAGCACAGUACAGUAUAUAUAAAUUAAAGCAUUAAAUCCAAAAAUUUUAAUCUCUUUCUUUUUCUCCUGGAAAUUUGAAAAAUGUCUUCUACUCCUAAUGUGAGUGAUUUUAGAAUACAAUGCACAUUACUACAAUAGUGGUUGUAAGUUGCACUUAUACAUUUUUCCUAGAGUUAAUGGAAGAUUUCUAGAGAAACUGGAGAAUACCUAAAAAAUAAUGUUAUUAGCCUUUUAGAAGGAAAUAAAUCUACAUGUUUUACUUUUCAGUACAGGUUCAUUUUCAUCAUGCCACUUGAUUUUCAUGAAAAAUAAAAUAGAAAUAUAUAUACUGAUGACUUGCUCAAAUUACAAUGGGCAGUGGGUUCAUCGUUUCAGUAAGUGAUAUAAAACUACCAUGUUGAUUAGUGAUUACAUAUCUACUGUAUCACUACACUUUUAUUGUAGAAUAAAAAUAAAUAAUUCAACCAAUUUUUUUUGUGUGUUGCCUUAUCUCCUGCUUCCUACAAAUGUGUCAUUCUGCAUCUAAUAAUUUAGAUGUCGCUUCUGAGUUUCUCACAGUGGUGCUCAUGGGGAGUUCUAUCUUCUGUGCUAUAAUGCCAUGUAAUCCACUGAAA